rnacentral:rRNA from 1 species
AGCGGCGGACGGGUGAGUAAUGCAUAAGAAUCUGCCUGAUCGGGGGGGAUAACGUCCGGAAACGGGCGAUAAUACCGCAUACUAUCAGAUGAGCCUAGGACGGAUUAGCUAGUUGGGGGGGUAAAGGCCUACCAAGGCGACGCUCCGUAACUGGUCUGAGAGGAUGAUCAGUCACACUGGAACUGAGACACGGUCCAGACUCCUACGGGAGGCAGCAGUGGGGAAUAUUGGACAAUGGGCGAAAGCCUGAUCCAGCCAUGCCGCGUGUGUGAAGAAGGUCUUCGGAUUGUAAAGCACUUUAAGUUGGGAGGCGUUACCAACAGAAUAAGCACCGGCUAACUUCGUGCCAGCAGCCGCGGUAAUAC